CCCUUAGAUGUCCUGGGCCGCACGCGCGUUACACUGAUGCAUUCAACGAGCUUAUAACCUUGGCCGAGAGGCCUGGGCAAUCUUGUUAACGUGCAUCGUGAUAGGGAUGGAUGAUUGAAAUUAUUAAUCUUGAACGAGGAAUUCCUAGUAAACGCAGAUCAUCAAUCUGCAUUGAUUACGUCCCUGCCCUUUGUACACACCGCCCGUCGCACCUACCGAUUGGAUGGUCCGGUGAAGCCUCGGGAUUGUGGUUCUUGCCGCUUUAUUGUGGCGUGACCGCGAGAACUUGUCUAAACCUUAUCAUCUAGAGGAAGGUGAAGUCGUAACA
rnacentral:rRNA from 1 species